UAGUUUUUAUUUUAUUUAUCUUGCAUCAUGUUUAGUGCAAUGGCAUACUUGGAUAAAAUACAAUAUUUAUAACCCAUGUUUCCUAUUACAUUUGUCAUUUUAGUGGUUUGUGCAUGAAAAAAAAAAUGUUCUUUCACUAAACUCCAUGUUGAGGCUAUACAUUUUUAAAUGUUUUAUUGUUUCUGCUUUCAAAUAAAGACAGCUGCUUCAGAGACGUAAUACAAAGGCAAAGACGACACGGAAGAGAUACAACUGCGUCCGGCAUACUUAUGUCUCUCAAUGGCAAGAUAUAAAGUUCAUACACAUCACUUUCAAAGAAUGGAACCUAUCAGAAAAAAAAUUAUUUUUGUCUUAGUGAAAAUCCCGUCCUAUCAGGACUCUGAAUAAAAUAAAACUUCUUUUAAUUUUAUUUUUAUCAGGCAUUUCAUUUGGUCCCACAAAAUUAUACUUUCUGUCCCUGUGAUGGAGCCCCGUUGGCACAGUUAAGCUUAAGAUCUCG